GACGAACGCUGGCGGCGUGCCUAAUACAUGCAAGUCGUACGAGUUGAUUGAAGAGCUUGCUCUUCAUGACGUUAGUGGCGAACGGGUGAGUAACACGUGGGUAACCUGCCUUUCAGUGGGGGACAACAGUUGGAAACGACUGCUAAUACCGCAUGAUACUAUUGAGUGGCAUCACUUGAUAGUCAAAAGAUUUAUUGCUGAAAGAUGGCCUCGCGUCUGAUUAGCUAGUUGGUGGGGUAACGGCCCACCAAGGCGACGAUCAGUAGCCGGACUGAGAGGUUGACCGGCCACAUUGGGACUGAGAUACGGCCCAG
rnacentral:rRNA from 1 species